GACGAACGCUGGCGGCGUGCCUAAUACAUGCAAGUCGAACGCAGUGGGGACGGGUGAGUAACACGUGGGUAACCUCCCAUCAGAGGGGAUAACACUUGGAAACAGGUGCUAAACCGAUAUGGAAGGAUGGACCCGCGGUGGAUUAGCUUGUUGGUGAGGUAACGGCUCACCAAGGCCACGAUGCAUAGCGGACCUGAGAGGGUGAUCGGCCACACUGGAACUGAGACACGGCCCAGACUCCUACGGUAGGCAGCAGUAGGGAAUCUUCGGCAAUGGACGAAAGUCUGACCGAGCAACGCCGCGUGAGUGAAGAAGGUUUUCGGAUCGUAAAACUCUGUUGUUAGAGAAGCGGUAUCUAACCAGAAAGCCACGGCUAACUACGUGCCAGCAGCCGCGGUAAUAC
rnacentral:rRNA from 1 species